UGCCAGCAGCCGCGGUAAUACGUAGGGUGCGAGCGUUGUUCGGAAUUACUGGGCAUAAAGCGCAUGUAGGCGGUCUGGUCAGUCAGGUGUGAAAGCCCAUGGCUCAACCAUGGAAUUGCACUUGAUACUGCCAGACUCGAGGGCGUCAGAGGAGAGUGGAACUCGUAGUGGAGCGGUGAAAUGCGUAGAUAUUACGAGGAACACCGGCGGCGAAAGCGACUCUCUGGGGCGUACCAGACGCUGAGAUGCGAAAGCCAGGGGAGCGAACGGGAUUAGAUA
rnacentral:rRNA from 1 species